rnacentral:misc_RNA from 1 species
CCAAUGGCGUAUAUUAAAGUUGUUGCAGUUAAAAAGCUCGUAGUUGAACUUCGGGGUUUACCCAUUGGUCAGGCUUAAUUGUCUGUACUGGUGAGAUAAAUCUCUACCUUCUGAGGAACUUUCAUGUCAUUAAUUUGGUGUGAUUGGAAAUCAGGACUGUUACUUUGAAAAUAUUAGAGUGUUUAAAGCAGGCUAACGUCUGAAUACAUUAGCAUGGAAUAAUGAAAUAGGACGGACUGAUUCUAUUUCGUUGGUUUCUAGGAUCAACGUAAUGAUUAAUAGGGAGAGUUGGGGGCAUUAGUAUUCAAUUGUCAGAGGUUAAAUUCUUGGAUUUAUUGAAGACUAACUACUGCGAAAGCAUUUGCCAAGGAUGUUUUCAUUAAUCAAGAACGAAAGUUAGGGGAUCGAAGACGAUCAGAUACCGUCGUAGUCUUAACCAUAAACUAUGCCGACUAGGGAUCGGACGAAGUUAAUUUUAUAAUGACGCGUUCGGCACCUUACG